CCCGGGCGGGCCUCGCUCGAGAGGCGAG
rnacentral:piRNA from 1 species